GCAAUCUGCCCAUAACUGGAGGAUAGCUCCCCGAAAGGGGAAUUAACACUCCAUAAGAUAUUAGAGUGGCAUCACUCAGAUAUUAAAUCUACGGAGGUUAUGGAUGAGCAUGCGUCUGAUUAGCUAGUUGGUAGUGUAAUGGACUACCAAGGCGAUGAUCAGUAGGGGAACUGAGAGGUUGAUCC
rnacentral:rRNA from 1 species